GAGCGGCAAAAGCUCAAAUUUGAAAUCUGGUACCUUCGGUGCCCGAGUUGUAAUUUGGAGAGGGCAACUUUGGGGCCGUUCCUUGUCUAUGUUCCUUGGAACAGGACGUCAUAGAGGGUGAGAAUCCCGUGUGGCGAGGAGUGCGGUUCUUUGUAAAGUGCCUUCGAAGAGUCGAGUUGUUUGGGAAUGCAGCUCUAAGUGGGUGGUAAAUUCCAUCUAAAGCUAAAUAUUGGCGAGAGACCGAUAGCGAACAAGUACAGUGAUGGAAAGAUGAAAAGAACUUUGAAAAGAGAGUGAAAAAGUACGUGAAAUUGUUGAAAGGGAAGGGCAUUUGAUCAGACAUGGUGUUUUGUGCCCUCUGCUCCUUGUGGGUAGGGGAAUCUCGCAUUUCACUGGGCCAGCAUCAGUUUUGGUGGCAGGAUAAAUCCAUAGGAAUGUAGCUUGCCUCGGUAAGUAUUAUAGCCUGUGGGAAUACUGCCAGCUGGGACUGAGGACUGCGACGUAAGUCAAGGAUGCUGGCAUAAUGGUUAUAUGCCGCCCGUCUUGAAACACGGACA
rnacentral:rRNA from 1 species